ACCCUCCACAUUCCUUACCCAUCAGACCUAAACAUUGAUCUGAGUAGAUAUAAAAGGAGGAGAUGUAAGAUCGAAAUGGACUUAAAUCCUUUUGUGACACACAAGUGAGUGUCAAACAAAG
rnacentral:snoRNA from 1 species